AAGCCUCGGUGUAGGUUGACACAAUCGACCGUGCAAUCGACACAAUAAUACAUAAAAUAUAAUACAUAAAACAUAAAUAUAUAAAGUUUUACAUUUGUCUUUAUUAAAUUAAUUUAAUAACUUAUAUAAUUAUUUAUUUCAAUUUUACGAUGUGUAGGUUAUCACUGUAGCACUUAAAUGGAAAUAAGUGGUAUUUUACUGUCCUACAUACAUAUAACCUUUACAAGAAUGUUUGUGUUGAAUGAGCCUUAGAAGAGGUGGAUGUGGAAGCGGGUCAUCAAUCUGCACUUAUAGGGAUUUUACACCUAAGUCUGACAUCGUAGAAGGACCAUUCUUGUAUCAGAUUGGAUUUUGCACCUGAGACUGACAUUGUAGAAGGACCAUUCUUGCAUCAGAUUGGAUUUUGCACCUGAGCCUGACAUCGUAGAAGGACCAUUCUUCUAUCAGAUUGGAUUUUGAACCUGAGCCUGACAUCGUAGAAGGACCAUUCUUGCAUCAGAUUGGAUUUUGCACCUGAGUCUGACAUCGUAGAAGUACCAUUCUUGUAUCAGAUUGGAUUUUGCACCUGAGUCUGACAUCGUAGAAGGACCAUUCUGGUAUCAGAUUGGAUUUUGCACCUGAGUUUGACAUCGUAGAAGGACCAUUCUUGUAUCAGAUUGGAUUUUGCACCUGAGUCUGAUAUCGUAGAAGGACCAUUCUUGUAUAAGAUUGAAUUUUGCACCUGAGUCUGAUAUCGUAGAAGGACCAUUCUUGGAUCAGAUUGGAUUUUGCACCUAAGUCUGAUAUCGUAGAAGGUCCAUUCUUGGAUCAGAUUGGAUUUUGCACCUGAGUUUGACAUCGUAGAAGGACCAUUCUUGUAUCAGAUUGGAUUUUGCACCUGAGUCUGAUAUCGUAGAAGGACCAUUCUUGUAUAAGAUUGGAUUUUGCACCUGAGUCUGAUAUUGUAGAAGGACCAUUCUUGGAUCAGAUUGGAUUUUGCACCUAAAUCUGAUAUCGUAGAAGGACCAUUCUUGCAUCAGGUUGGAUUUUGCACCUAAGUCUGACAUCGUAGAAGGACCAAUCUUGCAUCAGAUUGGAUUUUGCACCUAAAUCUGAUAUCGUAGAAGGACCAUUCUUGCAUCAGGUUGGAUUUUGCGCCUGAGUCUGACAUCGUAGAAGAACCAUUCGUGCAUCAGAUUGGAUUUUGCGCCUGAGUCUGACAUCGUAAAAGGACCUUUCUUGCAUUUUAUUGUAAAUAUUAAAUUUCUUUAUUAUUAUCUAAAAUAACUUUUGUGAUUAUUACAUAAAUUGACUACCAAAAAUGUA